rnacentral:rRNA from 1 species
GAUGAACGCUGGCGGCGUGCCUAAUACAUGCAAGUCGAACGCUGGAGAUCUAGCCUGCUAGAUCGAAGGAGUGGCGAACGGGUGAGUAAUACAUAAGCAACCUACCCACGAAGACUGGGAUAAUCUCUGGAAACGGGGACUAAUACCGGAUAGGUAAUCGGAAGGCAUCUUCUGGUUAUUAAAGGUUAAAAACACUGGUGGAUGGGCUUAUGGCGCAUUAGUUAGUUGGUGAGGUAACGGCCCACCAAGACGAUGAUGCGUAGCCGGCCUGAGAGGGUGAACGGCCACAUUGGGACUGAGACACGGCCCAGACUCCUACGGGAGGCAGCAGUAGGGAAUUUUCGGCAAUGGGGGCAACCCUGACCGAGCAACGCCGCGUGAGUAAAGACGGCCUUCGGGGUGUAAAGCUCUGUUGUAAGGGAAGAACGGUAGAUAGAGAAUAUCUAAGUGACGGUACCUUACCAGAAAGCCACGGCUAACUACGUG